AGAGUUUGAUCCUGGCUCAGGACGAACGCUGGCGGCGNUAACACAUGCAAGUGGAGCGACGAACCAUCUUCGGAUGGGGCAGAGNNNCGAACGGGUGAGUAACACGUGGGUCACCUACCUCGAUGACCGGGACAACCCGAGGGAACUCGGGCUAAUACCGGAUGUGGUCUUAGGACGAAAGGAAGCUUCGGCCUCCGCAUCGAGAUGGGCCCGCGGCGCAUUAGCUUGUUGGUGGGGUAACGGCCUACCAAGGCGACGAUGCGUAGCUGGUCUGAGAGGACGAUCAGCCACACUGGGACUGAGACACGGCCCAGACUCCUACGGGAGGCAGCAGUGGGGAAUCUUGCGCAAUGCGCGAAAGCGUGACGCAGCAACGCCGCGUGGGGGAAGACGGCUUUCGGGUUGUAAACCUCCUUCAGUUGGGACGAAGGGCAGUCGGUGAAUAGCCGGUUUGUCUGACGGUACCUUCAGAAGAAGCCCCGGCUAACUACGUGCCAGCAGCCGCGGUAAUACGUAGGGGGCAAGCGUUGUCCGGAAUCAUUGGGCGUAAAGCGCGUGUAGGCGGCCUUGUUAGUCCGUUCUGAAAGUCCGGGGCUCAACCCCGGGAGGCGGAUGGAUACUGCAAGGCUCGAGUCCGGAAGAGGCGAGUGGAAUUCCUGGUGUAGCGGUGAAAUGCGCAGAUAUCAGGAGGAACACCAAUGGCGAAGGCAGCUCGCUGGGACGGUACUGACGCUGAGCGCGAAAGCGUGGGGAGCAAACAGGAUUAGAUACCCUAGUAGUCC
rnacentral:rRNA from 1 species